UGGACAAUGGGGGCUAACCCUGAUCCAGCCUUGCCGUGUGUGUGAAGAAGGCCUUCGGGUUGUAAAGCACUUUCGGACGGAACGAAAUCGCGCGGGUGAAUAUCCCGCGUGGAUGACGGUACCGUAAGAAGAAGCACCGGCUUACUACGUGCCAGCAGCCGCGGUAAUACGUAGGGUGCGAGCGUUUAAUCGGAAUUACUGGGCGUAAAGCGUGCGCAGGCGGUUGUGCAAGACCGAUGUGAAAUCCCCGGGCUUAACCUGGGAAUUGC
rnacentral:rRNA from 1 species